AUGGAGAACAGCGCGCCGCCGGUGAUCAUCAUCGGGGCGGGGCCGUCGGGGCUGGCGGCAUCGGCAUGCCUGGCGCGGCGCGGGGUGGAUAGCAUCGUCCUAGAGCGGGACGAGUGCGUCGGCUCGCUGGGGCAGAAGCGCGCCUACGACCGCCUCCACCUGCACCUCCCCAAGCAGGCAAGCGCGCUCCCCCACCUGCCGCACGCCGACGACGCGCCGACCUACCUCCCCCGCGACCAGUUCGUCCGCUACCUCGACGCCUACGCUGACCGCUUCGCCGUGCACGCGCGCCUCCGCCUCCGCCGUGAGGUCUGCUCCGCGCGCUUCGUGGACGGCUAG
rnacentral:rRNA from 1 species